AUUUUAUUAAAUAUCUAUUUUAGAUUAAAAAAAAUAAAAUUCAAAUAAGUAUUUUAUAUUUUUUUUAAUACUAAGCAUUCAUUUAAAAAGUGCAUCCAUAUAUGUAUAUCUAUGUAUCGAUGGUGGAGGCGAUGGGGUGGGCUCAGGAUCUCGAUACCAUCUAUUUCCUCGUUUCUUUCAUGCCCGCCUCUCAUCUCCUUAUCUCUCUCUGUCUUCUUCAGGUGACCAAAGGGAUCUCGUGUUUCUUGACUUGAGACAUUUAUGCUCAUGAGGCAAGGCUUUUUCAGAAGUGAAGUGAAGGAAGGAGAAAAGGUUAUGAGGUAAUAAUUUUUUUUUAAAUGUCAAAAACUCUUUGUUCCAUCCUUUAAGAGGGUGUGGAUUUUCCAGAACCUAAACGUGCAUCCUUUUUAUGUAUGUGUAUACUUAGAUAUACAUAUACAUAUACAUACAUAUAUAUAGUUACUUAUUAGACUAGAAAAUCAAGUUUGUUCCAAGUUCUUUAUUCCGUAGCUCAAUUGGUUAGGAUUCAGGGUGGCAGGGGUAGGAGUUGACAAUUAUGAGAUAAGCAUAAGUAUUUGAUCUCACUUAACAAUAGUGUGUUGUACCAAGUGCUUAAUUGUUUGGUCCGUGACCUGACUUGGUAGUAAACUUUGGCCUCUUUGAUUAUAAUAAGGAAGAUAAUGCCUAUACUUAUUCUCUUACUCUGCUGGAUGUAAAUUUGUGAUUGAGUUCAUGGUGGUUUUGAGUCUGUCUUAUUUUUAGCUCUUGUGUUUGUUAAUUUGUUGGAGCAUAUAAUAUAAAUUUCAUGUACUAUAGAUUACAA